UACGUAGGUGGCAAGCGUUGUCCGGAUUUAUUGGGUUUAAAGGGUGCGUAGGCGGCCCUGUAAGUCAGUGCUGAAAUAUCCCGGCUUAACCGGGAGGGUGGCAUUGAUACUGCAGGGCUUGAGUACAGAUGAAGUAGGCGGAAUUGACGGUGUAGCGGUGAAAUGCAUAGAUAUCGUCAAGAACACCGAUAGCGAAGGCAGCUUACUAGCUGUAACUGACGCUGAGGCACGAAAGUGUGGGGGAUCAAACAGG
rnacentral:rRNA from 1 species